CCAAAAUUUCCCUCAUUAUUCCCACCUCGACUGAAAAAGGCUGGUUGGACUCAUGGCUGCAUCGUAUAAAAGAUGGGUCCAUCAGGUACUUUAACAAACUCAUGCUUUCUACAUUAUAUAGACUGAUUGUCUGAGGUCAUUUGUGCCCGUUGUGUUCUCUUAUCCUUUGUCUUGGUGUUGAUCUUGUGUCUUUUAUAGUCUUUUGUUUCACUUUGAAAUAAUUUUGUCAUUUUGAGUUUGCUCUUUGCAGUGCCUCUGUUUCUCUUUGAAGUGUUUUUGUAUCCCAAUCCACUGCUGCCAUUUUGUUUAGGUGUUUUUUUAUGGUAAUUUUGUGUCUCUCUGUUGUAACUUUGUGACUCUUUCAAUCUUCAUGUUAUGCUUUGUUGAUUUUUUGCAUCUCUUUAUAGUCUGAAUAUUCAUCUUUGUUGUCCUUGUUUUGCCUUAGUGGUUGAAUAGUCUCUUUAUAGUCUUUUUGUAUAGUCUUUUUUGUGUUACUCUCUGUAUUUCUUUGUGUUUCCGUGAUCAUUACUGCCUUUAACAACAAAUAUUGCACUCACUUUAAGCAGAGGCUCUUGUCAAGGACCUACUUGACUCCCCUGCCCCUCGGCAGUGUGCGCAGUAGCCCCUUUCAGGAAUCCAUCUAGAGUAGGACCAAAGAGUAGUGUUACAUAACAUCAGUAAGUCUUGGGAAUGCGUUUCUGGGUCAAAAUUCUACAAAGUAGAAAUGCUUAACAGUGCACACCACAGCAUAUGCGGGGUCCUCUUCAUGUAGAAGAGAAUUUAUUUUUUGAACUCUUUCCCUUGCCGCUAGACGAAAAAAACAACCCAGUGCAAUGCCGCCUGAAGAAAUGUUAAUUUCUUAUUAGCUAGAAUGUAACUGCUUAUGUAUGCAUGGAGUAGCAGAAAGCACCAUCUAGCAUGUGACAUGAAAAAAGGUAGCAGUAUGUAAACACAUAUAUCUUUUAUUUAUCUGUACCAAAAACUGUCAAAAAGCUGCAAAGUCUCCUAUUAAUAUGAGAAACUGAGAGGAACAUAACAAACUACAGGACUUCAGAGCAUCGGUACAAAUAAUGCAGGACGCAAGUAGCAGAAAGUGUAUCUAGAAUUUUCUUUGAAGUUUUCCUUUACAUAUUGCUCAUCUCUGAAUGCUAAUUUAAAACAAUUAUUAUUAUUAUUAAUAAUAAUAAUAAUAAUAAUACUAAUAGCGAGGACAUGGUGACAGGGACAUGGUGUUGGUAUUGCAGGCUCGAGAAUAACCAAACAACAUGACUUUAAUUAAAAAUAUGUCAUCUACAUCACAAUUUUUGUUAAUUUGCUUCAUCUCUUUUUAUUUUUUUUUUCCCUUUUAUUUAACAGGACAUAUAGAAGGACAAGCAAGGGGAAGGCAGGCAUCAAAGGGUCAAAGAUGGUAACUGAUCCUCCAAUCAAUGCCUGAAGGACAUGGGAUACGAUAUAUGGGACGCCUGUUAAGCAAUGCUCAUGCUUAACUAGAAAUAAUAAUAUUAUAUGUCUUAACCUUAAGUAUUAG